rnacentral:lncRNA from 13 species
UCAGAUGUCGUGGCGGAGGCUCCGGGAUGGCGGGAAGUCAGUGGGUCCGAGGAGGCACCGUGUGCCGGGGCUGAGGGAGGGACUGAGCUGGGUUGUGAGGGGGCGGGGAGGAUUCGAGGAUUUGGAAAGCGGAGCAGGACUGACAGGCGGGGCAGGUGCAGAGGGUAAAGAAUGCCGAAAACACCGGGGAACCUCAGCUGUUUACCAUUGCCGUGGCAGAAACCGUUAAGGUCCUGGAGAAUGCUGAAUUCAAGUGCCAUUUAAGGCGGCCGAGAGCCAUGAUCCUGUUUAAACUGGGGCCAGGCCGUGUUAAUCCUGUGGGCCCGACCUCAGACCGGAACCCAGGGGUGUCCAGACUCGGGAGGAGACGUCAUACGGGUGGUUUUUGACGUGACGCACCGCCGGCGCCCGCGAGAGCGACUUUGGAACAGUCACUGUCAAACUAGACGUCCCCCAGACCGCAGGCCUGAGGCCGCUGGGCCCGGAACAGUGUCCUCGACCCAGUGCUGGGACUUUCAGACCGAAACGGACUGACGGUCGAGGAACCCGGACGGAGGCAGUUCUCCAUCCAGCUUACCGGCCAGGUGAUUAUUCGGAUAUAGAUAACCACGGUUGGCAACGGAGGCCUGGGGUUUCCCUCCUGGGUCUAGAAAGGGGUUCGGGAUUGCGGGGCGGAGGGGGACGGCCUAGCCACGGCGGCAGCGGGAGAGAGAGAAAAAGCGGCCAGCACCUACUCCCGUCCCAGGUUUUGGGAUUCAAAUGUGAUACCCACAGGAUGGAGAGGCUGACCCACGUGUCGGGUUUAGCCAGUUUAUUUCAACCUGCUGGCUGCGCCCCCACAGGCAGUGAAGGCAGCAGCCUGGCUUACAGACUACGGGGUUCUGUAGGAGGCUUGCGGGUAGCCGGGUGCUGUCCUAAGAAAAACUGCAGCAGCCUGGCUUACAGACUAUGGGGUUCUGUAGGAGGCUUGCAGGUAGCCGGGUGCUGUCCUAAGAAAACCUGCAGCAGCCUGGCUUACAGACUAUGGGGUUCUGUAGGAGGCUUGCGGGUAGCCGGGUGCUGUCCUAAGAAAACC